rnacentral:rRNA from 1 species
GACGAACGCUGGCGGCGUGCUUAACACAUGCAAGUCGAACGGUAAGGCCCUUCGGGGUACACGAGUGGCGAACGGGUGAGUAACACGUGGGUGAUCUGCCCUGCACUUCGGGAUAAGCCUGGGAAACUGGGUCUAAUACCGGAUAGGACCACUGCCUGCAUGGGUGGUGGUGGAAAGCUUUUGCGGUGUGGGAUGGGCCCGCGGCCUGUCAGCUUGUUGGUGGGGUGAUGGCCUACCAAGGCGACGACGGGUAGCCGGCCUGAGAGGGUGACCGGCAACACUGGGACUGAGAUGCGGCCCAGACGCCUACGGGAGGCAGCGGUGGGGAAUAUUGCACAAUGGGCGCAAGCCUGAUGCAGCGACGCCGCGUGAGGGAUGACGGCCUUCGGGUUGUAAACCUCUUUCAGCACCGACGAAGCGCAAGUGACGGUAGGUGCAGAAGAAGGACCGGCCAACUACGUGCCAGCCGCCGCCGUAA